GACGAACGCUGGCGGCGUGCUUAACACAUGCAAGUCGAACGGAAAGGCCCCCAUCUUGGUGGGGGUGCUCGAGUGGCGAACGGGUGAGUAACACGUAGGUGAUCUGCUCUGUACUCCGGGAUAAGCUUGGGAAACUGGGUCUAAUACCGGAUAGGACCAUGGUUUAGUGUCUCAUGGUGGAAAGAUUAUUGUUUUGGUGCAGGAUGAGCUCGCGGCCUAUCAGCUUGUUGGUGGGGUAAUGGCCUACCAAGGCGUCGACGGGUAGCCGGCCUGGGAGGGUGGACGGCCACAUUGGGACUGAGAUACGGCCCAGACUCCUACGGGAGGCAGCAGUGGGGAAUAUUGCACAAUGGGCGCAAGCCUGAUGCAGCGACGCCGCGUGGGGGAUGACGGCCUUCGGGUUGUAAACUCCUUUCGUUAGGGACGAAGCCGCACUUUUUUUGGGUGUGGUGACGGUACCUUUGUUAAGAAGCACCGGCUAACUACGUG
rnacentral:rRNA from 1 species